GGGACGUUCUCGAGAGCUCAAUCGGCUGCCUAAAGGCGGUAGUUUCCCGUGCUGUACGCAGGCAUGCUACUUCAUUCGCAGACAACUGUGAGGCUAGAGGAUAGUCAGACCCAGGCCCCCCGGCUCCCAGUGUGACAGGGAAGACAUACGUCACAUUGACAGUGUUUGUAGGAUAUUGGGCUGUAAGGAUCCGGUUGAGGGGUUCCAGGUCCCACAGAAGGUGAGGUGGGUGACCCAUGAGUAUCCCUGAACUGAGUGAAGAGUAAAUGAUGCAUAGGAAGUUUAGAUAAGGGAGGAGAAAGUGUUCCAGGUCGAGCAAAUAUGCAGAAGCCAGGAAGGAGGUGAGAUCAUAGCGUGUGUUUGGAAACAGAAAGAAUAGGCCUGAGUGGGUGGGAGAGAGGGGAACGCUGGACAAGAGGACUUGGGCUUGGGAGGCAUGAGGAGGUCACCAUUUGUACUACACCGAGUACAGAUGUCCACUGAGGGGCCCAUUGCCACUCCCCUUCCCAGGUCCCUGAAGACUUCAUCUCCCGAGAGCUGUUUGACACAGUCCAAGUGUACAUCAUCACCAAGCCAGAGCUGCAGAACAAGCUUAUCACUGUGUGAGGCCCUAGCUCGGGCCAUGGAAAAGAAGCUGAUCGGCUGUCCUGUGUGCAUCGAACACAAGAAGUACAGCCGCAAUGCCCUCCUCUUCAACCUGGGCUUCGUGUGUGAUGCCCAGGCCAAGACCUGCGCCCUCGAGCCCAUUGUUAAAAAGCUGGCUGGCUAUCUGACCACACUAGAGCUAGAGAGCAGCUUCGUGUCCACGGAGGAGAGCAAGCAGAAGUUGGUGCCCAUCAUGACCAUCUUGCUGGAGGAGCUAAAUGCCUCGGGCCGGUGCACUCUGCCCAUUGAUGAGUCCAACACCAUCCACUUGAAGGUGAUUGAGCAGCGGCCAGACCCUCCGGUGGCCCAGGAGUAUGAUGUACCUGUCUUUACCAAAGACAAGGAGGAUUUCUUCAACUCACAGUGGGACCUCACUACACAACAAAUCCUGCCCUACAUUGAUGGGUUCCGCCACGUCCAGAAGAUUUCAGCAGAGGCAGACGUGGAGCUCAACCUGGUGCGCAUUGCUAUCCAGAACCUGCUGUACUAUGGCGUUGUGACACUGGUGUCCAUCCUCCAGUACUCCAAUGUAUACUGCCCAACGCCCAAGGUCCAGGACCUGGUAGAUGACAAGUCCCUGCAGGAGGCAUGUCUAUCCUACGUGACCAAGCAAGGGCACAAGAGGGCCAGUCUCCGGGAUGUGUUCCAGCUAUACUGCAGCCUGAGCCCUGGCACUACUGUGCGAGACCUCAUUGGCCGCCACCCCCAGCAGCUGCAGCACGUUGAUGAACGGUCAGAGGAGAAUUCGCUGGGGCAUUUGGGAGUUACCUGAGGAAAGCUAGACCCUUUAUGUCUCUCAGGAGCCCUGGGUCAUGGGGCACUGCCAAUCCAAACAGGCUUCCUGGAGAUGGUGGGCUACAAAGACAAAAUUGAAGGGACACUACAGGAAAGGGUUCGCCUGCCUGAGAGAAGGCCUGGCCAGGGCGUCACCCCUCUGUCCUCUGAUCCUCACCCUAGGAAGCUGAUCCAGUUCGGGCUUAUGAAGAACCUCAUCAGGCGACUACAGAAGUAUCCUGUGCGGGUGUCUCGGGAAGAGCAGAGCCACCCUGCCCGGCUUUAUACAGGCUGCCACAGCUAUGACGAGAUCUGCUGCAAGACAGGCAUGAGCUACCAUGAGCUGGAUGAGCGGCUUGAAAAUGACCCCAACAUUAUCAUCUGCUGGAAGUGAGGCUGGUGGUGGCUGGAUGGACACAUUGCUGUGGGUAGUCCCUCCUACCAGGAGGCUUGUCAUACUGUCUAGAGCUUGACUCUUAGUUCUGUAAAUAAAGACAUCCAUUUCAAACAGC